rnacentral:misc_RNA from 1 species
GAUGAAGAACGUAGCGAAAUGCGAUAAGUAGUGUGAAUUGCAGAAUUCAGUGAAUCAUCGAAUCUUUGAACGCUCAUUGCGCCCCUUGGUAUUCCAUGGGGCAUGCCUGUUCGAGCGUCAUUUGUACCCUCAAGCUAUGCUUGGUGUUGGGUGUUUGUCCUCUCCUUUUGCGAUUGGACUCGCCUUAAAGACAUUGGCAGCCAGUGUAUUGGUCUUGAAGCGCAGCACAUUUUGCGAUUCUUGCUGAUAAUCACUAGCGUCCAGUAAGCCUAUUUUAACACUUUUGACCUCGGAUCAGGUAGGGAUACCCGCUGAACUUAAGCAUAUCAAUAAGCGGAGGA